rnacentral:rRNA from 1 species
UGGGGAAUUUUGGACAAUGGGCGCAAGCCUGAUCCAGCCAUGCCGCGUGCGGGAAGAAGGCCUUCGGGUUGUAAACCGCUUUUGUCAGGGAAGAAACGCUCUGGGCUAAUACCCCGGGGUAAUGACGGUACCUGAAGAAUAAGCACCGGCUAACUACGUGCCAGCAGCCGCGGUAAUACGUAGGGUGCAAGCGUUAAUCGGAAUUACUGGGCGUAAAGCGUGCGCAGGCGGUUAUGCAAGACAGAUGUGAAAUCCCCGGGCUUAACCUGGGAACUGCAUUUGUGACUGCAUAGCUAGAGUGCGGCAGAGGGGGAUGGAAUUCCGCGUGUAGCAGUGAAAUGCGUAGAUAUGCGGAGGAACACCGAUGGCGAAGGCAAUCCCCUGGGCCUGCACUGACGCUCAUGCACGAAAGCGUGGGGAGCAAACAGG